rnacentral:snoRNA from 1 species
AAACCAUGAUGAGGACACUCUAAGAGAAGAUCCUUAAAACGUUCCAUACACCUAGAAAAUGAUUCAUUAGGUUUGUGAUGAAACUGGAGAAUGUCGUUCCUAAGUUU